GGGAAAGGUCGUCUAGGAGCCAGGACCUUGGUUUGUGAGACCAAAGACAUGGGUGCAAGUCCCAUCCUUCCCCU
rnacentral:tRNA from 1 species